rnacentral:rRNA from 1 species
GCUAGCGGCAGGCCUAAUACAUGCAAGUCGAGGGGUAAGGUCUCUUCGGAGAUACACGACCGGCGCACGGGUGCGUAACGCGUAUGCAAUCUACCCACCGCUGGGGCAUAGCCCGAAGAAAUUCGGAUUAAUUCCCCAUAAUGCAGGGGUACCACCUGGUACUAUUUGCUAAAGAUUUAUCGGCAGUGGAUGAGCAUGCGUCUGAUUAGCUAGUUGGUGAGGUAACGGCUCACCAAGGCGAUGAUCAGUAGCGGGUCUGAGAGGAUGAUCCGCCACACUGGCACUGAGAUACGGGCCAGACUCCUACGGGAGGCAGCAGUAGGGAAUAUUGGUCAAUGGGCGCAAGCCUGAACCAGCCAUGCCGCGUGCAGGAUGAAGGCCUUCUGGGUUGUAAACUGCUUUUAUACAGGAAGAAAAAGGUCAUGCGUGACCAAUUGACGGUACUGUAAGAAUAAGCACCGGCUAACUCCGUGCCAGCAGCCGCGGUAAUACGGAGGGUGCAAGCGUUGUCCGGAUUUAUUGGGUUUAAAGGGUGCGUAGGCGGUACGUUAAGUCAGUGGUGAAAUCUCUCGGCUCAACCGGGAAACUGCCAUUGAUACUGGCGUACUUGAGUAUGGACGAGGUAGGCGGAAUUUAUGGUGUAGCGGUGAAAUGCAUAGAUACCAUAAAGAACACCGAUAGUGAAGACAGCUUACUAGACCAUAACUGACGCUGAGGCACGAAAGCGUGGGGAGCGAACAGGAUUAGAUACCCUGGUAGUCCACGCUGUAAACGAUGA